rnacentral:rRNA from 1 species
UAGGGAAUCUUCGGCAAUGGACGGAAGUCUGACCGAGCAACGCCGCGUGAGUGAAGAAGGUUUUCGGAUCGUAAAGCUCUGUUGUAAGAGAAGAACGAGUGUGAGAGUGGAAAGUUCACACUGUGACGGUAUCUUACCAGAAAGGGACGGCUAACUACGUGCCAGCAGCCGCGGUAAUACGUAGGUCCCGAGCGUUGUCCGGAUUUAUUGGGCGUAAAGCGAGCGCAGGCGGUUAGAUAAGUCUGAAGUUAAAGGCUGUGGCUUAACCAUAGUAGGCUUUGGAAACUGUUUAACUUGAGUGCAAGAGGGGAGAGUGGGAUUCCAUGUGUAGCGGUGAAAUGCGUAGAUAUAUGGAGGAACACCGGUGGCGAAAGCGGCUCUCUGGCUUGUAACUGACGCUGAGGCUCGAAAGCGUGGGGAGCAAACAGGAUUAGAUACCCUGGUAGUCCACGCUGUAAACGAUGAGUGCUAGGUGUUAGACCCUUUCCGGGGUUUAGUGCCGUAGCUAACGCAUUAAGCACUCCGCCUGGGGAGUACGACCGCAAGGUUG